CAAGAAAGGGAGGAGAUACAGCACAACAGACUUGUCAGAUUCCAUUAUUAUAGCCACAUUAUAUAAAAGGAGUUUCAGUCUUCCUGUAGAAUUGAUUUCCUGGUCUGGUGUUCCUGGUGGGGUUGACACUUCUUCUUAGGGCUGAGAGAAAGCAACUGGUACCAAGGUCAACCAGCCACCUUUAUGCCUAUAGUGAGACUAGAACUCAUAGUCUCCCACUUUCUAGCCUGGUCAAAGUUCAGCAAAUCUUUACCAGGAUUUUAAUUGCUACAAAUCAUGGUUGUCCAACCUUUUGGCUUGCCUGGGCCUCAUUGAGUGAAAAAGGAAUUGUUGGAGUCCACACAUCCUGGAAUUGAAUCAAGAGAUUUAAUGCCUGAUGCUGUUUGAUUGGUAGAGAGAGUCCCGUAGUAGGGAAUUAGUGGCAUAACCAACCUUUGUCUUCAAUCAAAGCUGUCCAGGAUCCUGUUUCUCACGAUGAUCAUUUGGAUCUUUCUGGAACAUGUGGAUAAUAUCUCCACCUGUUUUUAUUCAUUUGUGUUGAAAAACAAAUUCCUCUACUUCUGGAUCAUAAAGCACUUACAGCUAGUAAGAGCUGAUUGCUAUAUCUUCUAAAACUUGAUCAAUUUUUAAUCACUUCUAACUGAAGGAGAAGGGAAGAGGGAAAGGAAUUGGGAUAAUUAAAAAAAUAUAACAAUAGAGAGGGAGGCUAAAGCACAUGCAUCUGUACUUAUGAUGAUUGGCUAGCUGAUUUCACCAAUACAUCAGUGGCAAGUAACCUAUCAGCAACCCAAGUGCUUGCCUACUGAAGCAACUUCUGCUUCCAUUAUCAUUCCUUGCCAACUUUUGAUAAAAGGUGCCAAGUGGAUUUCUGUCCUGCAUUGAUCACAUUUUCUUACUAAGAAAUUACUAACCCAUUCUUCUCUCAUUGUCUGGACAAGAAAACACUAUUUGCUAUAUCCUAGCAGGUUAAGAUGGUCUCCAGGCCAAGGUUAGACACAGGACUGGUUGGAUAUGUAUGUAUGUAUGUAUGUAUGUAUGUAUGUAUGUAUGUAUGUAUGCAUGCAGUGGUGGAAUUCAACUGGUUUGUACCACUUCAGCAGAACCAGUAGCUAAUUUUUUGUUGCCCAGGUCCAGAAUGGACGUCCGGAAGUGGCAUCCACACAGAGAACCAGUUGUUCACAUAUUUCAGGCAUGUCAAACUGCUGGCCCACAGGUCGUAUGCGCCACUUCGAAACCGUGCCUACCCCGUUGCCGGCAAUGGGGAAAAAGUCACAAUAUCAACAUCUGAAUAGAGUUAAAACAAUAUAGUACAGUUUAAGGUAAUCAUUAUAAUAUAGUAGAGAUACAAAGCCUUAUACUACCCAGGAAGAUUGUUUAUCUAUUGUCCAUUACUACCUUUUUUAUUUCUAGCAGAUUUCUAGAGAUAUGUAUGUAUUUAUGCCUAUAAUGUGUGUUGUGUGCAUAAAUGUGUUCCAGUGCUGGCAACCAAAGGGUUUUAGCAGUUUAUAAUAAACUGAUUUUCACUAUCA